rnacentral:rRNA from 1 species
GAUUCUGGCUCAGAACGAACGCUGGCGGCAGGCCUAACACAUGCAAGUCGAGCGCGCCCUUCGGGGUGAGCGGCGGACGGGUUAGUAACGCGUGGAACGUACCCUUUGGUAGGGAAUAGCCACUGGAAACGGUGAGUAAUACCCUAUGAGCCCUUCGGGGGAAAGAUUUAUCGCCAAAGGAUCGGCCCGCGUUAGAUUAGGUAGUUGGUGGGGUAAUGGCCUACCAAGCCUACGAUCUAUAGCUGGUUUUAGAGGAUGAUCAGCAACACUGGGACUGAGACACGGCCCAGACUCCUACGGGAGGCAGCAGUGGGGAAUCUUGGACAAUGGGGGCAACCCUGAUCCAGCCAUGCCGCGUGAGUGAAGAAGGCCUUAGGGUCGUAAAGCUCUUUCGCCUGUGAAGAUAAUGACGGUAGCAGGUAAAGAAACCCCGGCUAACUCCGUGCCAGCCGCGGC